AUGAUAUCUUUUAUUGAAGCCUGCCUGGCGGUAUCUCUGUGUGUCUUCUGCCCUAAUCUCAUCUCUAAUCCCAUCUCUGUCUUCUCUGAGUCUUGCUGGGGUAUCCCAACCCGUGCAGCUCAGAGGCCCGACACCCUGCAAUCGGCCCUGUCUCAUCCUCCAGACAUCUUUCUCCACCUCCACCAUGAAGGGGCGUCUCAGUGCCAUGAUUAGACUCACACUGCGAGUGAUCAGGCGUCAGGAAGCCUCUUCGUGUUCCCUCUCCACUCAGAGCUUAACCCACUCACUCACACAGGAGGAGACUGUGCCUCCAGGAGUCAUAGACACAUACAUGGCAGCCGCACACUGAUAAGCCGUCUAGACACACAUUUGUUUCAGAUAGAAAUGGUUUGAAUGUGUUACCUCCCAAGGACUAACUUCCUCCCAAUAGAAAAGCCAUACCGGUACACCAAGGCUCCAAAUUUAAUAAGAAUAGGGAUUGAAGAAGUAAAAACCAAGGCCUGAAUUCAGUUGGAACGUGAACUCUGUUCAACUGAGGAAGUGACAAGAGAUUUAUUGAGAAGGGAGGACACAUCUCCGAUUUCAGAAGACGGAGGAGAACAGAGAAGAAAGAGAAAAGGUCUGCUCUGCUCUCCCUCCAAGAUGGCCCCUGCACAAUUCAGUCAAAGCCUUUACCCAUGACCCUUUGACCCCCAGUGACCUCUGCGGGUCAGCAAAUGAUGCAAAAAUCUAGAAGUGUUUUGUCGUGUAUGAACUGUGGCCAGGGCCUCGGGGCAAACAUCUAAAAAGAAAACAGAGGGGGGAACGAGAGAGGAGGCGGGGAGAGAGAGAGCCAGUAAGAGAGGACGGGGGUUGGCUACAAAAUUUGCCAGAAUCUAAACAUCAAAAGUAGAGGGUGUUGACUGAUAAAUAUUGAUGAAUUUGGGAACACUUGUGGUGUUGUGCAAGACUGAGGUUUGUUUGUGUAAGAUGAGUCAGUGGGAUAAGUGGAGGACUGAACAGAGGAAAAAUACAAUUAAAAUCUCCAUGAUUUACAUGAAACAC
rnacentral:lncRNA from 13 species